rnacentral:lncRNA from 1 species
AUUGUUAUCAUUAUGUUUGUCUGGAAAUCAGCAGAAUGGGGGUGUUGAUUUCCAGCGGGUGGGUUUUCCUUUGUCCCUUUUUUUUUUUUUUUUUUUUGUUCUAACCCAGAUUUUCAUGUUUAACAGGCCCACAGCUGAUCCAUCCCCCAGUACACAAUUGAGACAGAGGAGGUUAAAGCACUCUGAACGCAUGGGACCAUAUUGCAGGUAUUUGUGCCUGUGGCAGGGUCUUGGUCUUUUGUUCUCCUCCUGCUCCUCCUCUGCAUCACAAGACGACCCGCAUGCACACGAGCUUCAGACAGACACACACUACGCACCCCCAACAUCCCCCCGUGUGCAAGGCUGGUGGCUCCAUUGUGUGACCUGUUCUCACACUGUUCCAUCUCCACAUCACGCAGCCAGCCUUUCACAGCAGCAAUUCAGCAGCAACAAUCACACACUCGCGCCUCAAAAAAAGACCUCUUGCUCCCUUUGCCAACCAAUUAAGAGCCAUCUGGGCUUGGAUGCAGUAAGAAAGCUAUUACAAAAUCAUAACUAUUUUCAUAUUUUCAUGAUGUGUUUUUGAUGUGGAGACUCAAAUGUUUUUAAAAAACAGAGCUUUGUUUCCAUGAUAUGUCUUCGCGUCCAUGAAAAUGUAUAAUUCUUAAACAGAGAGAGUGCGCUCAUCAAUAUUUUGUUAAUUUGCGCAGGACCAGUGGAGGGCACAACACAGUUUAAAAACACAACAGAGCCAGCCAUAGCUUUUGAAGCUGCCAUGCAAGUGUGUGAUUCCGGAUGAACUUGAGGUCAUAGAUUCCCAGUAGCUGCGUAGGGCAGGGAAUGGAGAGCAGCAGGGUUCAAGCCUUGGGUCACUGGAGCCUCAGAAGUGACCAGCCAGCUUUGUCCCAGGAGGGAUGAUGGUGACGGAUUCACUGGUGUUUUCUCAUGGUCCACUGAACCCUAUAGCAAAGACUCCAACUUAGAGCCUGCAGAAAGAGAGAGCACUCCUCUCAUCUCCAGUUCACAGAACUCCAGAAGCGGGGCUGUCUGAAUGGGCUCCAGGAUGCCUCGAGAUACACGAAAUCCAGCCGCAACCUCACGGUGGCACUGCCAAACCUCAUUUCAUCCUUUUCCUCCAUGUAUAAUCUGCAGUACACAUUAGGCCUCUGACAUGCACCGCAAUGGUUCAUUUCCCCAUUGUAUGUAAGUGUUAAACCACUGUGUUGUCAAGUAGGCUUUAUAAGGCGAAAAGAUAUGAAUAGAAACUCCACCCUGUCUUUUUUCUUUUCAAUCUAACUAAGUUAAAAGGCUUACUUACCCCUAAUCAAAAUGGCAAGCCCACUGGCAUGGUAUGUCCCAGCUGUGGCCCUGGCGCAGCAUUUCCCUUCUCCCCGUACAUUGUUCUGGGCAGCACAUCCAAGAGCUCUUGCUGUGUUAUGUACUUAACUGAGGUCAGAGUUGUCAUUAUCUGGGUCUUGUUGGCACUAAGGCCUCCUCUGAUGAUAGGACUCCCUUUCAGAGCUGCAGCUUUUAGCACUCCCUAAGAGCUAACCUCUGUGAAGACCAGGCAAUCGACCACCUGCAAAUCUAGCCCAGGGCAGGGACUGUGUUUAAAGGAGUAUGCUUUUUGACAUUCUGUCACAUGUGUGCUGUUUGCCCUAACCUGGUGUAAGUUUACACAGAUGCUCCAAGAUUUACCUCUGAUCUUUUUUUUCUGGUUGAUUGGGGGGGAUUAGUAAAGUUUAUAUGUACAGACAGGAGACUUAUGUUCAGUUGUUUAUUAGGUGGCUCAUAAUGGCUGGAGGCCAGGGUCCUGUCAUCCAAGUCAAAAUCUAGUGCUCCCAGUGCUAACUCAGAACACAUUGAAGGUGUAUUUUUUCUAUGGUGUUUUCUAUCGUAUCACAAUUUUAAAGCUUGCACAACAUUGUUACAUAUUGGAAAAUUGAUCCUUAGAAGCAUUUUGGCAUGGAUUGAGGAAAAAGUACACAACAGGAGAUUAGUGUUUGUGGAGGCUUACGUUUUAUUUCUUGAUCUAAGCACUGUCAUCUCCAUUCUAGCAACACUUCCUCAUUCUUGUCAGCCCCCAUGGUGUCGCUCUGUUAGGAAUUAUUUUUCAGAAUAUACUGCAUUUUGAAAAGAUAUAUCUCCCCCAUGCCUCUCUUGUUCUCUCAUUCUCCAACUCUCCCUCUCUGUUUCUCUCUGUGUCUUACAAAAACACACAGAAACACACACACAUACACACACUGCAACAUGCACACAACCAGACAUGCACAACCCCUCUUAAAACUGGUCCUCCCCCCUAUAGCAAUUUUGUCAGAAGUUGACAAUGUCUUGAUUUAGUUGUCUGGCUGUUCCGGCCAGUUUUCCCUGCUGCGCUAAUGUGAACAGGACAUCCUGCUGGGCACCAAAGAAUACCACUUCACGGCAGCCGCAUAGCUGGCAGCUUUUAUUUAUGGCGCUACCGAAAUGAAUGGGUAUUAGUGUCCAAACAUUUCACCAUGCUCCUGCAGCCACACACAAAAGCCACUGAUUUCCAGCAAAUCUGCACUUAUUUUAUUCAAGAAGACUAAAGCUAGGGAGAGGGAGAGGGACAGAGAGAGAGAGAGGGGGAGAGAGAAAACAUUUAUAAUGACUUAAAAGACCUGAAAAGAAGAAUAGGAAUUGCGUUUGAAAAGGAUUUACGAGACAGAAAUUGAAAAUUUAAAAAAAUGGCCCCUCCAUUUCACUGCAUUUUUGUCAGAGUUGAAAAUGGAUCUAUAUCCCUAAAAUGACUCAACUUAAGUGCUUAUAUUCACAAAAACCACACUUCCUCCACAAUCACCCAGUUUUCAGUUGCUCUGUUUUGCCCGGUUGUACAAAGCAUUGUAUUUUAUAGAACUAUACCAGGAAGGAAAGAGUAUUUUUAUCAUUGCUAAAAUUGUCGAUUUAAAGUGUCUUCACAAAUCACUCUUGCUACCAUUUUGCAAUCCAGGCUGCCUACUGUCUUGUUAACCUAUGAAUUUUAAGUGGACAGUUCCCAUUAGAUUGCAGUAGCACUGCUGACUCCUCUUGGCUUUUCUGUAGGGAGCAGGCUGAGGCAGAGUGCUCUCCUGGCCCGGCGCUGCACUUUGCCUGGUCUCUGUGUCCAGGACCUCAUCAGCACAUAGUCCGCCUGUCCUUGUGUCCCUGCCACUCACCUCCCUGCUCUUCAUCUGUCAUUCCUGCCCUUCUGCAAACACACUCCACUGACAUUUUGAAAAACUCUGGCAUUCACCCUCAAUAUGGAUUUUUGUUGAUUAUAGCUUUCUGUCUGUGAAGAUUGCACGUAUUAUUGACUUUGCAAUCCCAUGACUAUUUGCACAGCUUUUUCCUCCCCUCUGCAUCUCG